ACCAAGCCAUCCAUGGGAGAAGAGACUCAGACCCAGUACACACACACGGGAUUACUCACCUGGGAGCGAGACCUGAGUUCUGGUGCAAGCCUUCUAUUUACUGACCUGGGUGAUGCAAAUCUCUUAACCUCAGAGGUAAAAUGAGGGGGCUGUUGCCUCUGACUCCGUGCUUCUGCAGUUUAAUUAUAAUUAACUCAAACGUUUGAUGAGCUCUUUAAAAAUUAAAAAAAAAAAAAAUGGUUGGUGGCUUUAAUAAGUUUGUACCACUGGGCCCUGAGUCGUAUUUUUGAAGUAAUAUAAGACAGGGAGAGAGGGUUGAGAGGUCCCUUCCAUUAUAUGAAUUUCCUAUUGAAUGUGUUAGUUUGAGAUAGCACCUGCCUAGUGUUAGGGGUCUAUAGAUACUACUUGAAUUAGGGAAGGUAGUGAUUAGGAUAAUGAAAUUUUUUUAAUUUGAAAAAACAACAAAGCCAAACAGAAACGAGUUUCUAAUUUUAUUGCAAAUAACUUGCAGGACUGAAAAUGAUUAAAGUUGUCAUACAUUUCUACAUUGAUAAGCCCUGUGCCAAGGGAUCAGAUACAACACAGUAAUCUACCAAGAUGAAAAAGAGUACCAUUGUUAACAGCUUAUUUUAAGGGUUGUAGAGUUUUAAAUGAAUUUGCUUUGUUUCUUUGUCUUUUAUUCUAAGAAGCUGUCUCUGAGGGGUUUAUGCAGGAAAUAGAUGUGAUCACCUUUGUGAUGUGUUAAAUUAGUAGCAAAUUUAACUUUAGGAUGAAAAAUCAUACUGGAUGCAGAAAUAGACAUUCAAAGAACCACAUACUAGUUGCAGGUUAGACAUAAUAUAUAAAAGUUAUUUUUAUAAUGAUUUUUAAAUUUGGAAUUAUUAAGAUUACACUUUUUUUUAAGUGUAACUGAGAGAAGCAAGAGCAAUGUAUUUGUGAUCGAAUUUAAGUCAGCUGCAUGAUAUUUGUAUAUCUACAUGUGAAAGUUUAAAUAUAAUGACAUUGUCUAUAUAAUGCAUAUAUAGUACACACACGCCUAUGUAGUUAGAAUCCUUAUCUAUUCCAUAGGAAGAAAAUGCUGUGUUAAAAUGUCUCUAGCAUUGAGUUACCUCUAAAGAAAUCAUAUUGUUUUGUUUUUGUUACUUCCUGUUGGCCUAGUGACAAUGAUUCAUGAUAAUGUAAUGUAGUACAUAUGAUUUCCAGUAUCACGUGACAUGUAGAUGGAUAUAUAAGACAUCUGGAACACUAUUCUUUUCUUAAUUUAAAUUUUAGUUGGAGGAUAAUUGCUUUGUAGUAUUGUGUUGAUUUCUGCCAUACAUCAACAUGACUCAGCCAUAGGUAUACAUAUGUCCCCUCCCUCUUGAACCUUCCUCCCACCUCCCACCCCAUCCCACCCCUCUAGGUUGUCAUAGAACACCAGAUUUGAGCUUCCUGCAUCGAAUAGCAAAUUUCCACUUAGUAUCUAAUUUUGUAUACGGUAAUGUAUGUUUCAAUGCUAUUCUCACAAUCGGUCCCAUCCUCUCCUUCCCCGAAACACUGUUCUUUAAAAACAUAAAACUUCAACAGAAGUCUGUUUAUCAGAGAAUUUUGUCUCAUUAAACAGUUAGUGUUUUGAUUUCAAUAAUAGUAGGACUCCAACAGAAUUGACCUUCAGUGUAGAAAUAUAACUGAACUUUAUUUCUUAGCAAUUAUAACUCAUAUGUAAAAACAGAAAUCUUUUUUUUUUCCACCAGUUUGUUGUCUUUUCUGCAAAUACAUCACUUUCAUUUUAUGAUUGGAGUGAGUUUUCUUUACAGUAGGCUUCUUAGAGACAGAUACUCAUUUUAGAAUUGGAAAAAUUAAGUUGCUAAUGAUUAACUUUGGAGAGGAGAGAACAAACAGAAAUACAGACAUAAAAGAACAAAUAAUUUUGAGUUAACAACACUGGCAGGAUUAGAUGAACAAACAUUUCAAUAAAGAAGUGCUCAACAAAGUUUAAUUGACUAAU
ensembl:lncRNA